ensembl:lncRNA
AACUCUGUUGUUUUGUUGGAAAUCCCCCUGGUUUUAAUGUUGAAGAAGUUUGGAAGAACCAUACUUUUACAUUAAAACUGGGUAGGUAGUUACAACCGGCGUACUACUGAUAACAGGUCGUGUGAGAUCAAUAUAUAUGUAUAUAUAUAUAUAGCUGCAAUAGGCUGCGCCAGUCUAUGGGGAUAUGAUGUCCAUGGCCUCAGAUAGCUUAGCACACCAACCUAGCUUGAACGCUAUCUCAACCUGCAUUCACUUAAUGUCAGUGUGUUAACCUAACUGUGGAAUGAGGGGGAGGGGAACAAAAAGGGAUUUAUCUUUUGUUUACACUGGGGCUAAGUAAUUAGCGUAGCAUUCAGCCUUUCGCUGCAUCAAACUUUUGUUUUAGCUUGUUGCAGCAUUAGCUUUAUCACGGCUGCCUGUUUCCUGCUGGUUUUAUACGUUUCCCUGCUUGAACACUGCAGAUUUGAUUGAAUCGACUGAUAAGCAGAACCCGAUGAAGGCUGAUGAGAUAAUUCACCAGUUACAAUCAGGCGUGCCUGAGCAGGAACAUACUGAAAACAUUUUCAGUGCUACAAGGCUGUAGUGUGCGUGCACGGUAUGAGGCGUAGCUUUCAGCUCCUUCCAAAAGGGGAGCGAACCAAACUCCUCCUCCUCUCCUUGGUGUUGUCACACUAUGGACUGCAGCUUUAAUAAACAUUUUCUGUAAUGGACUAAAACUUAAAAACACAGCUUUAAAAUGAUUUUGCAACAAUAAUAAAUGCUGUUUUUUUCUCACUGGUGGUUCUUGUGGGAUUCUUCAUUGUAUUAAAAAAAUAUAUAACAACACAACACCAUCAAAAGAGCACCAAGACUGACACUGUUGUUUCUUGUCUUGUCUGCAGAGAAGCCAAUGGCGCAGGGUCCCCCGGGUGGUGUUGUCGGGAUCCUUGGAGGUGUUGUUGCAAUUGGACUCAUCAUCGGCGUGGCUGUUACUGUUUUCAUGGUCCAUCGGCGGCAGCAGAAGACUCGCACAGAGACAGAUAAUGACCUGACUGACCUCCCACCCGCCCAUAAGCCAGCCCCGCCCCCUCCCAAAAAGAAGAACAGUGACAUGAAGGGUCACCUGGCAUCUGAUGACAUCCAGGUGGUUCAUAUCGACAAGGAUGAGGAGAUUCAGAAGCUUCCUCUUCAGCCCCCUUAUUACGACAUGGCACCCUCCGAGUCGACCCCCUUCACUGAUAAACCGGUGAGUAACACGAUCGGGUCACAGGCUCGUCUCUGUGAGAGGGCCUUCACAGCUGCAAUGUUCGGUCAGGUGUAAUUGCUGGUGAAAGCUUUUGUUACUGCAGGUGCUUGAGAAUGGGGCUUCACAAAGCUGCCGUGACGUCCGAGAGGCUCUUUAGUUUUUGCUUGCCUGGUGUUGGCUUGUGAAUCCACAGGGUGCUUUCGGCUGUGCUUCUUACGUCACCAUUUACGUCAGCGCUUCCUAUCUGUAGUGUAAACCAUGGCUGAUCAGCAUUCUCUCUGUCUGUUGCCCUGACCCCUAUUGCCCACCAUUCCUGCUCCCCCCCCCCCCCCCCAUUCCAUGUUAUCUGCUAGAACUACAUGAUGGUCAAACGAACAUCACCAUUUCUGGAAGUUACCAUUUGUUUAUGAAGUGUUUGUCUUGUUGCCUUUGCUGUCUUUAGCUGUGGUCACGCCUCCCGCAGCUGCAUGGGCUGAAACUGUUAAGUGGUCAAUUGCUUUGGCUGGAGUGCUUUUAGGCGAAAAUGCAUGUCUUGUGUGUGUAUGUUGCAGUGUAAACCAGCAGGAACGUCUUCAACCACGUUGCAGGUUAAUGGGAGCACCUUCUGCUUACGUAAUCUAGCAAUAGCUGUUUUCAUUGAAUUGGUGUUUCUCCUUGCAAUGCUAACAAAGAUAGGAGGUGCCAUGCAACAAACAUCUGCUGCUCUAACAAAGUUCAUGAUUUAUCUAUGCAGAAAGUGAUUUAGGGUUUCCUAGAAUAUCCUAUUUUUGUUUAGUACAUGUGUAGUUUAAAGCCGGUUAACGAUUUAUAAUUAGGAGGUGAUUUCAAAGAGUCAAGUAGUCUCUUUUUAUAUUAUUUUCCACAUGUACAAAAAAGAAGAUUUCAUAAUUGGAUUAGGUGAGAUUUUUCCUGGAACUACAGAUGAUAAAAAGGUUAGACUUCAUCCAGCAGGCAAGUGUGAAGACACAUAACAGUCUCAUAUUUAGACUGUUGGGUCAAAAUCUCUAAAUAUGAGUGUACACAUUUGUCAGUGAAAAUUUCACACACACACACACACACACACACACACACCCACACACA